rnacentral:rRNA from 1 species
AUACGUAGGGGGCGAGCGUUGUCCGGAAUGAUUGGGCGUAAAGGGCGCGUUGGCGGCGCGGUAAGUCUGGAGUGAAAGUCCUGCUUUCAAGGUGGGAAUUGCUUUGGAUACUGCCGCGCUUGAGUGCAGGAGAGGUUAUCGGAAUUCCCGGUGUAGCGGUGAAAUGCGUAGAGAUCGGGAGGAACACCAGUGGCGAAGGCGGGUAACUGGACUGCAACUGACGCUGAGGCGCGAAAGUGUGGGGAGCAAACAGGAUUAGAUACCCUGGUAGUCCACACUGUAAACGAUGAAUGCUAGGUGUAAGAGGUAUCGACCCCUUUUGUGCCGGAGUCAACACAAUAAGCAUUCCGCCUGGGGAGUACGGCCGCAAGGUUGAAACUCAAAUGAAUUGACGGGG